CUUCAGCGAACCCAGCCACAGCGGCUGCCCCUGCGGUCGCUCCUGCCCGUACGUGGCCAGCAGCGCCUGCGCCUC
rnacentral:antisense_RNA from 1 species